AUUGAACGCUGGCGGCAUGCCUUACACAUGCAAGUCGAACGGCAGCACGGGGCAACCUGGUGGCGAGUGGCGAACGGGUGAGUAAUGCAUCGGAACGUACCUUUCAGUGGGGGAUAACGUAGCGAAAGUUAUGCUAAUACCGCAUAUUCUGUGAGCAGGAAAGCAGGGGAUCGCAAGACCUUGCGCUGAUUGAGCGGCCGAUGUCAGAUUAGCUAGUUGGUGGGGUAAAGGCUCACCAAGGCGACGAUCUGUAGCGGGUCUGAGAGGAUGAUCCGCCACACUGGAACUGAGACACGGUCCAGACUCCUACGGGAGGCAGCAGUGGGGAAUUUUGGACAAUGGGGGCAACCCUGAUCCAGCCAUGCCGCGUGAGUGAAGAAGGCCUUCGGGUUGUAAAGCUCCUUCGGCCGGGAAGAAAUCGCACGGGCUAAUACCCUGUGUGGAUGACGGUACCGGAAUAAGAAUUACCGGCUAACUACGUGCCAGCCGCCGCCGUAACAC
rnacentral:rRNA from 1 species